UACGGAGGUCCCGAGCGUUUGUUCGGAUUCAUUGGGCGUAAAGGGUGCGUAGGCGGCGGGGCAAGUCUGAUGUGAAAUCCCGGGGCUCAACCCCGGAACUGCAUUGGAUACUGCCUUGCUCGAGUACUGGAGAGGGAACUGGAAUUUACGGUGUAGCAGUGAAAUGCGUAGAGAUCGUAAGGAAGGCCAGUGGCGAAGGCGAGUUCCUGGACAGUUACUGACGCUGAGGCACGAAGGCCAGGGGAGCAAACGGG
rnacentral:rRNA from 1 species